GCCAGAGUGGCAUAGUGGUUUGAGUGUUGAACUACAACUCUAGAGACCGAGUUUGAUUCCCAGCUCAGACA